AACGAACGCUGGCGGCAGGCUUAACACAUGCAAGUCGAGCGCAUCCUUCGGGGUGAGCGGCGGACGGGUGAGUAACGCGUGGGAACGUGCCCUCUUCUACGGAAUAGCCUCGGGAAACUGAGAGUAAUGCCGUAUACGCCCGCAAGGGGAAAGAUUUAUCGGAGGAGGAUCGGCCCGCGUUGGAUUAGGGAGUUGGUGGGGUAACGGCCUACCAAGCCGACGAUCCAUAGCUGGUUUGAGAGGAUGAUCAGCCACACUGGGACUGAGACACGGCCCAGACUCCUACGGGAUGCAGCAGUGGGGAAUCUUGGACAAUGGGGGCAACCCUGAUCCAGCCAUGCCGCGUGAUCGAUGAAGGCCUUAGGGUUGUAAAGAUCUUUCAGCUGGGAAGAUAAUGACGGUACCAGCAGAAGAAGCCCCGGCUAACCCCGUG
rnacentral:rRNA from 1 species